UGCAUUCGUGACGUUCCGUCCUUAUUCACGUCCACAAGAGAGUCAUUGGAGUUGGCAACAAGUCAAUCGGAAAUCCCGUUGUGUAGAUGUGGUUUAUAAGCGUCAACAAUCGCGCUUUCUCUGAAUAAUAAACAGCCAAUUACCAAUUGACCAUCGGCGAGAUGAACAAUGUAUAUAUUAUUGAAGAUUGUCCAUAAAUUGGCUCCAAAUGAUCACGCUUGACUGAACCAAUUGAUUGUCUUUUCUCUCAAUCAAAUACUUAAAGAACUUUCAAAAAUUUUAAUAACAUUCGAAUAACUGUGUAUAAUUUUGUUUCCGUAUCAACGAGUCGUCAAGUAACUUUCGCUUCUCUAAUGACAUUCGUUAAAAUUUGCCAAAGUCUUGUAAUAAAAAUGAUCAUUAUGGUUUUAGAAAAGAUAAAAUACUCCAAGCCUUUACAAUGUUAUUUAUCUCUCUAAAAUGGCUGAAUUAUUUACUGAUAUAUUCAUUAAUUAACAUAACGGUCUUAUUUUCAUUAUCAGACCUAGAACUGUCUGUGAUCAGACUGUCAGGAAUCACUACAAUAGGAAAGUUUUCGACAUCUCAUACUCCACAGACGCCCUAAAGGAUAAUUAACAAUGAUAGAGAAGUCUAUCACUAUUGAUUGAAUGAAAUUUUCAAAUAAUAAUAUCACAUUUAAUA